rnacentral:lncRNA from 1 species
GGGGUCCAGAUUUUACAGGAUUUUGUGGUAUUCGAUGUCGAGUCGUCGGUGAAGCUCUGCUCUGACUGUGACACGAGAAAGGGUUUUAUAUUGUAUAUAAAGUCUAUUGUCUAGGUUGUUUUGUAUAAUCAAUAAAUACAUUAUUUGAUUCAAAGAUUUGUAUAAACACUACUUUUACUAAUUAAUUACAUUAGUAUUAUUUUGAUAGAGGAGUGUAAUACUCGAACCGAUAUUCAAUAAAUUAAAUGUGAUUUUCCGUUGCGUG